GUGCUUGCAUUGGCAACACAUAUACUAAAAUUGGAACAAUACAGAGAUUAGCACGGCCCCUGUGCAAGGAUGAUAUGCAAAUUUGUGAAGCGUUCCUUAUUUUU
ensembl:snRNA U6 U6 spliceosomal RNA